UACAUUGGAGGACACAUAUAUAAUCAACAUGGACUCCUGAUUUAUGACCAUCUUUAUAAAAUUUGGAGCAUAAUUUCAUUACUUCUAAAUAUUUACGAAGGUUCAAAGUUGUAGAUUUGCUUUUACAGCAUAUUGUGACAUAACAUGGUUCUGUCUGUGAUGUGUUUGAUGCUAAGCCCUUGGUCAGGAAACAACCCCCCAAAAGAACCUUGGGCCCUUGGGGGUGUGUGAGUAGCCUUCUGAUGACCUUGGAAGGAGGCAGUGUCCAAGGGCAGGGCCUGGGGAGGAUGGAGGACAUUUAGGUGGAAAUAACCCCCCCAGUGAGUGGGCCAGCAGGGCUGUCAUGGGGCUCAGAGAAGACCCCUCUUCUGGUGGGCUGGGAACUGCAGAAGGGACUUCAGGGAAGAGGCAGGGCUGGGCAGGGCCCUGAAGGGCAAGUGAAGCCUCAGGAGACAGAGGAGCUGGGGUGGAGCUUCCCAAGGGAGCCCCGUGACAGUUGCCAUCCUGGAAGUUUCCUUUCUAAGAUGCUGUGGUUCAUGCCCUGAACUCUAAGAAACUCUAAGAAAGUAACAGGUUUCACUCUGUUACUUCUUCCGUAAAUCUUCCCCAGACCUCUUGGAAUAGAGAAAUGAAAGGACAAAGCAUAAUCCACACAGGGGUGGUGAUGCUCUUUGCCCAGAGGAGGGAGAGUCUGAACGCAUCCCCUAUUCUGGGUGUGUGGGAUUCAUUGGGGCUUGUGAGUGGGCACUGGCUACAAAAUGGGAUUGGUAUGCAACCUCCUGCAAGGGACCUGGGUGAUGUCAUCAGACAGAAAGGAAUCCUCCCAAUGGUUUCCACCAUGAGGAAAAGAGACUAGAGGAUGUGUGUGGUGUGUUUGUGUUUGAGAGAGAGAGAGAGAAUGAAUCAGCAGUAGGUUCAACUGCAAGUGACAGUAAAUCUAUUUUAAAAGUGCCUUAGGAAAAACACAAGAUUAUUUCCCUCUCUGGUAGGCAAAGUCCAGAAGUAGGCAGCCAGGGCUAACAGGAUGACUUCACUCUGAUCAAUGAUUCAGGCUCCUUUUAUAUUAUUAUUCUGUCAACUACAACACAUGGCUUCUACCUCAUGAUCCAGCAUGGCUGCUUGAGCUCCAGCCACCACACUCAUAUUCCAGUUAUCAGUGAGGAGGAAGGUACAAAAACAUGUGUUCCUCCUUUAAGACACUUUCUGAAAAUUACACAUAGUACUUCUGCUCACAUUCCAUUAACAAUGACUUAAUUACACAACCACAACUAACUGCAAGGGAAGCUGAGAAAUGUAGACAUUAUUUUGGGCAGCUAUAUGCCAGCUAAAUUCUUUCUUUACUAAGGAAGAAAGGGAAAACAACACUGGAGGAGCAGUCUCUUCCAUACUGUGCUUGAGUGUUUAAGCCCCUAGGUGUAUCCUGUGGAUGUGUCCCUGCCUGUGUUUAUAACAGUGUUCACAAUCCAUUACUAAGCACGCCCUCCACAAAUGCUGCUGAAUGAAUGAAUGAAUGAAUGGGCCAUGAAUGUCUUAGAAAUGCGUAUGUGUGUGUGAAAAGAUGGGGUUAAGCAUGAGUAUGUAUGUUCACACACAAUUAGUGUAUUCACUAAUUCACUUAUGUAGUCAACUAAUAUUUACUGAGCACCUACUAUGUGCCUGGGACUGUGCUGCAACAUGCGAAUCAGCAAUUUAACAUGGCAGUCAAGUUGCUGCCCUCAUGGAAUUAGAGUCCAAUGGAAGACAUGGACAAACCCCAAAUACACCGAUAACCAAGAUGAUAUUACAAAGACACUGGUGUGAUGACGAAAAUAAACAUGACCCUUGAAGGAUCAAUGGGGAAAUCAGGGGCAUCCAAUAAUGACAGGAGGGUUGUGGCGGGUGACACCGAAGGAAACCCAGGAGCCCAUACACCCCUAGACAUCUCCCUCCAGCUCAGACCCCUUCCCGUGGCUCCGGGUGUUGAGCUCCAGAUCCAACUCAACAUCUCCCCUGAGGUCCAUCCUGACCCAGAGCCACGUGGCUGAAGGGAAGCUCCUGCCUCUCUUGUCCAGAACUGCCCUCUCUGCCUCAGUCUUCCCCGGCUCAGUCUGUGGCCCCACUAGUCACUAAACAAUGGAAGGAGCUCGUGUGGGAAGAGCCAGGGAAGCAGCGUCCCAGACAGAGGGAGCGGUCAGUGCAAAGGCCCUGGGGCAGGUGGGAUCUUCCUGGAGUGCAGGAGUAGACAGGUAGACAGGAGGCCAGGGCACAACCAGUCCAGGGUGACCCCCGAGGAGGGACCCAGGGGAGCCACCACCCUCCUCACCCGCCCUGUCCUGCUGACCCCCUGCUGGGGCUACCACUGCACUGGUGGGACCAGGCCCAAAGCCAGAGACAAGCGUCCCGUGGUGUGAGCCACCUCAAUUAGGCUGGGGGGACAGAGCAGGCGGAGGCAGGGAGAAUGAACGUGGGGGACAAAGGGAACACAGGGGCACAGGCUGCAGCCGAGAGCAGGGCUCUGGCAUUUAUUCUGAGUUAGGUGGGGGACACGGGGCAUGGUGAGCAGAGGGGUGACAAGAUCUGAAGUGUCAUCGUGCUGCUGUGGGGACAGUGGAUGGUAGAGGCAGGUGGAGGCGUCAGACAGGGAAGUGUCUGCAGGGUCCAGAGAGGGGUGACAGUGGCUGCAGCUAUGUGGAGACAGGGGAAGUGGGCCUGUCCUGGAGUCAAAGCAGAAAAGCCACGCUGAGCACCUGCAGGUGGCACAGGACCAGGGGUGGGCUCAGGCUCGGCUUGAACUGUGGGGUGACAGCUCAGGCGUGGACAGAAACAGCCUGAGCAGAUGGGGUUCAGGCAUCGAGAGGUGGCGGGAGACAGAACUGCACC
rnacentral:lncRNA from 1 species